rnacentral:tRNA from 1 species
CGGGGUGUGGCUCAGCUUGGCUAGAGCGCCUGGUUUGGGACCAGGAGGUCGCAGGUUCGA